AUUCUCCACAUUAUUUAUUAAAGGCUUUCAAAGGAAACGGAAGUUUAAAAAGGCGCAAAAACUGAACAGAUUUAAAAAGAAACAAAAAUAGCAGGAAUAAAUAGAAUGUUUGUGGUGAGACAAGAAUAUUAAGAAGUAAAGAUUUGUUUGUUUCAUUCAUGUCUCAAAGUGCUGCAGGGUGCGUGUGUGUGUGUGCGUGCGUGUGUGUGUGUGUGUGUGUGUGUGUGUGUGGGCGUGUGUGUGUGUGUGUGUGUGAGAGAGCAGCGCAGCCUGUUGCUUUCGGGACGUUUCUGCUCUUUAGAUUGUGACAGUGCGUCCUCUCGCGGUGACAGCCUCAUUAUUCUGACUGUUGGCUCCGAAACGCGCAGCACGCGGCGCGCGCGGCCCGGACGCGCUGAGGGCCGCGAGCCAAGACCUUUCAUCAGAUUUCAUUUCUUUAGAUGUUACAGAAACGUGAACAAUUAUUAACAGAAUAGUUUGUGGCUCUGUUAAUAUUUCUGCUGCAGUCACGGCUUCAUUUUAAACACUGAAGAGAAAAAGUUCAAAAUACAAAAUAUAACAUUUGGAGAAAAAAACACAACUUGUAUGAUCUAAUCUUAUUUAUCACCUUAAAAAUAAAUUCAGGUUCAUUUUCAGAUUAAAAGUUACAUUAAUAAAUAAUCUUUAAGCAGGAAUUAAAUAUAUUUUCUUUCUAUUAAUUUCAGUUUUAUUAAAUGGAAAUAAUAUUCAGAUGCUGAAUUUCUUGUUUACAUUUGUUGUAAGCAGAAAAUCAUCUCGUGCGUUUUAGUCUCUAUUACAUCGAUACUGUAGUAGUAGUGGAAAUGUGUGUGUGUGUGGGGGGGGGGGGGGGGGGGGGGGGGGGGCAUCGACGCCACUGGAUGUGACGUCACUGUAAAGCCAGGAAAUGAACCCGCACAGGGCGCGCAGCUCGGUGGGUAAAAGCAGUCGGGGGCGCGCACGCCCUUGCUGUGCAGCGGCGUCGGAAGCAGCAGCAGCAGCUGCUGCAGCUGCUGCAGCAUCCAUGAGGCUGCUGGAUCAGCGGGGAGCCGCACAGGGGAAUUCAUGAGCUACAUGCGCUCAAGCAAAAAAACAACCAAGAAUUGCACAAGUCGGCCUGCCGCUAUGAUCAGACCUCAUUUGGAUCAAACGGAACCAGUCAGAACUGUUCCCGCUCUGCCCCGAACGCCUCACUGCGCUUCAGGGUUUUAAUCCACUUAGUUUAAUAUUGGGGAGGAAGAGGAGAGGAAGAGGAGCAAACCGGAACCUGAAUCUGGUUCAGAGUCCGAACCGGACAAAGCAGCAGCCCGGCGGGAAAAUAACAACUAUAACCAUAACAACAAUAACAAUAAUAAUAAAAAUAAUAACAACAAUAAUAAUAAUAACAAUAAUAAUAAUAAUAAUACAGACUGAGUUUUAUUUCUCUUGGUUCGGGUGAACAGAACCAGUCCGGAACCAGGCCUGUUCUGUACCAGGAUGAUUUUCUUUUAAAAAUGAAAAUCAAACUGAAAUAUCUCCAGUUUUUUUCCUUUGUGUUUUGUAAAAAAAUAAAAUAAAAAUAAUAAUAAUAAUAAUAAUAAUAAUAAAGACUCAGUAUUAAAUGAAUCCCUGAGCAGAAUGUGAGCAGAGCUGCAGUCACAGUUCUGGGUCCAGUCGCGGUUCUGAUGACGCAGAUUAUUUCUGCCUGAUUAUGUCAAACAUCUCUGAUUAAAAUCAAAACAUUUUUUUUUUUUUUUUGCUCUGCGGCUCAGAGUUUAAGAUUGGAACAGAUUAUUCUGCUGCCAGUGAGAGGAUCAAAUAUUUUAGAUUAGGUCUCGCCUACAUGUGUGUGUGUGUGUGUGUGUGUGUGUGUGUGUGUGUUUAUCCCUAAACAUCAUUGUUUCCUUAUAAACAAAAAUUAAAUUACAACAAAAGGAUAAUAAAUUAAAUGAUAAACAGUGUGAAUUAAAUUCAGCAGCCAGUGAGAUAAACGUGUGAAUAUUUGGAGGUUCGGUGUGAGACGGGAGGUUCUGGGUGUCUCGGUGCUGCCGGGGUCUCCGUGUGUCAGAUUUCUGCUGCUUUCUCAUUUCUGCCAAAACAAAGUGGCAGAAGAGCCUGACUAAUAUGUGGCUUUCAGCCUGACAGCAGGACGAAAUUUAGAAAAACAGAAAAAUGGCGCUAAGACGUUGUUUGCGGAAUGUUUCCAGGAGCUGCGGCGCGUCGAAGCGGAGCGGGCCGCAGGUGAAGCCGGCCGCCGGCUGCAGGCUGCCGGCUGCGGGUCAGGCUGCCAGGCUGCACCGGCGCUGCACGCAUGUCGAAACCGCUGCAGCUCCCCGCAGGUAAUCUAUUUGUUACAUCACUGAGUCAUUUGUCACCUCGCUGCUCUUUUCAAGAAAAAGGAGCUGUUAUUCUCUCCGGCAUGUGAACAGAAGCUGCUUCUUAGAACAAAACGAGGGCGUCAAAUUCUGCUGCUGAAACCUGAAAGCAGAACUUCGGUUCCUAGAAUGAUUUAAACUGAGAACAAAAAACAUUCUUCGAGUGUAAAAAGGGAAAAAAUAGAGCAGUUAGUGUUUUCUGUCAUUCUUUCCUACACUGACGUGAAAAGGGAAAAUGGUGAGCCGGUCGGCCGAGUUGUGAUGCUUAUCAGCGUCUGUAUCGCUGCUCGCCAGACGCGCUGAUGUAAUCUGUCAGCCGCCGUGCGGGGCCUCUUCACCUUCAUUCAGCUCAUUGCUGACUUUUAAGAGGAUGGGCUUCCAUUUAGAAAUUCACUCUCAAUUUAAAUACUGAAUUAAAAAAAAUAAAAAUAAAAAAAACUCCCAGCAGCUGAAAACCGGCACCGACCGGCCGGCUGGCGGCUCCGUACUCAGCGUCAAAUAUUUAAUAAUAAUUAAAUCUAAUUUGGGAGAUUUUAUUUUUUUCAGGCAGAAUUAAAUAAAUAAAAAAAAUAGAAAAAUGCGCGCCGCAUCUCCUCCCUGAUGCUGCCCUCAUUUCUGCGCCAUAUCGAUGCAGAGAGCGGACUGAGAUGGAGGAAGAACAGCCGCCGGCAAGGUAAUCAGAUCGAUUUCACGGCUGGAGCGGCUCCGCGGCCGGAACCGCCGCCAUCAGCCUGAGCGGCAGCAGCACCACCAGAUAUUUAUCUCUUCAUACUCGGGGAAGCUGCCAUGUCAAACAAACCCAGGAUGGACCCUCAGCCGGGUAUCCAGGAACCCCCUUCCUCUUCCUCUUCCUCUUCCUCUUCCUCUUCCUGCCUGAGCAGAAUAAUCCAGGACCGGUUGGAGUCCAGAGAGUUUCAUGGACGGAGGGAAACAAAGGCUCUCUAAGGCUGACUGUGGCCCUGGGCAGAAUCUCAUCUGGGGCCCCACCUCCAGCUCUGUCCGUGUAAUUACACUGUAAAAAACAUUUGUUGUUUUUACACCUCAUUUUACAGUAACUAACGUUUCCUCAGCCUUUCUGUUCUCUGGAUAAUCUGUUAACUCUUUAAACUGUUUCAUUAAAAUAAAAAAACUGGCCUUGAUUCUUUUAUUCUAACAGGAACCUGAUGAAAUCACAGAAGUGUUUUUACCCAUUAAGCUUUCAGAUGAGUUGGAAGACGGACUGCUACUGGAGAUCCUGUCAUAAACAACGACUCUGAAGAAACUUGGAUGAUAAAAACUACGACAACAUUUACAUUUACUGAAGUAUCUUUAAACUGAUUUGUGGAAUCCUCUUUAGAAAUCUAACAAAAAUGUUAUAAGUUGUGAUUAUUUAAUUUGCCAUAACUACAAAUAAUUAGGAAAAACAUUUAUUUACUAUAAAUGUGUGAAGAUGCAUAGACAGUUUUGAUUUUUUUGAUUUGAUUGAACUUUUAUCAAUCAGCAGAUUUUAUUUAUAUAAUGUUAAAUUGCAUCAAUGUGAAAAGACAUUAAAUAUUGUUUAAUUUUAACAAUGCAGAGUCAGCUAUUUAUUAAUAUUAUAAAGGAUUUAUUAAUAAUUGCUGUCCCAGUAUCCUGAUAUGACCAAAAUGAAACUCUUUCAGUUUCUGGUGAAUAAAUUCAUCAACAUGUUUUACAGAUUAUGAAUCAGUUUUAAUAAAUCCUUUCUGAUGGAUUCACUUCCUGUAUAAAUGUUUUCAGUGGAUUAUCAGCCCCCCCUGGACACGCCCCUGCUGAUUUGUGUCAGGUUUUCCUCCCGCAUGGCGCCGGGUAGAGGAGGGCUGUCGGGUUCAGACCCCCGCUCCCUUUUUAACUGUCAAUGAGGCAAAGAUCAGGUUGCAGCGGGCCGGGGUCUCCCGGACCGGACCGGAACCCGAACCGGAUCAGGAGGAAACCUCCACAAACUCCCGGUUACUUCCGAAACUGAAGCUCGUUUUGUUUUUCUUCAGGUGUUUCCUGACAGGAUGGAGAGCAGAAACUGGUUCUGACGGACUUCCGGUGAAGUGAAAACUGGACAGUUUCCUCUGAACGCGGAAGAAAUGCGGGUCUUUAACUUUAUCAUGACUAACUGAGCCACAGCCUGAAUGUUAUUGAUCUUCAUCAGGCUGAUCAAUUGAACCCAUCGCCUCCUGAUUGGAGGGGAAAGCAGCGCAGAACCCGCUGCGGAACUUUUCAAACUGGGCGCUAAAGAAACGCUUUAACUCCCGCCUGACGCUGCGGGAUGAACCGCAGCUUCACCGCAGGCUGCCGGUGUGCGGGAGCGGCUGAGUGACGCUCUGUCUGCGGGAUCAUGUUUAAUCCCCGCCUGUUCACAACUCAUUUCUGCACACAGAAGCGCAGAGAUGGGGACUCAGAUGGUUGCCGGGGCAACCGCGUUAGGACUGACGGAGCCGUUUCCCUGAACGGAGGCAAUCUGCAGCAGAGGUCGUCACAAAGUCAUUCCUGAUUACUUUCCUCUUUCCUGGAGCUUCUCGGCUGCAGCUCAGCAUCCAACAGUUCAUUCAGUUCACUAAUUCAGUUCACUCGUUCAGUUCACAGGUGCAAAUCCUGCAUGUGACGUCACGUGGAUCCGUUCCUCGCAGAUCCGAGUUUCAGGUGUUUUUUUUCUGUUCAUGUUUCUGAUGAUUCCUUCAGAUUCAGAUCUGAAAUGACUCUGUUAUGUUUCUGAUUUUACACGGAAUCAGUAAGUCACGUUGUUGCUUGGAUUUUACGGCGCCACGUUCAGGCCCUGAACUUCACAUUUUAACG